GUGGUAGCUGAGUAGUAGAGCAUCUGCCUUGCAUGCAGAAGGUCACAGUUCAAGCCCCAGCAUCUGCA